UACAGAGGUCCCAAGCGUUGUUCGGAUUCACUGGGCGUAAAGGGUGCGUAGGUGGUGGGGUAAGUCUGAUGUGAAAUCUCCGAGCUCAACUCGGAAAUGGCAUUGGAAACUACUCUGCUCGAGGGUUGGAGGGGGGACUGGAAUACUUGGUGUAGCAGUGAAAUGCGUAGAUAUCAAGUGGAACACCAGUGGCGAAGGCGGCUCACUGGCCCGGUACUGACGCUGAGGCGCGAAAGCGUGGGGAGCAAACAGG
rnacentral:rRNA from 1 species